UAAGGCUGCAGAUUGGUGGAGUGUUGGAAUCCUUUUGUAUGAAAUGCUUACGGGAAAGCCCCCUUUUACUGGAAAUAGACAAAAAAUUCAACAGAAGAUUAUAAAGGAUAAGAUUAAGCUCCCAUCAUUUUUGUCAAGCGAAGCACAUUCGCUCUUGAAAGGGCUGCUGCAGAAAGAACCAAGCAAGCGCCUUGGUUGUGGACCAGGUGGAAGCGAGGAGAUAAAAUCUCACAAGUGGUUCAAGUCAAUCCACUGGAAGAAAUUGGAGGCAGGAAAAAUCAGGCCAAGCUUUCUCCCAGAGGUUGCAGGUAACCUUUGUGUUGCCAAUUUUGAGGAGUGCUGGACCAACAUGCCAAUCCUGGAUUCUCCAGCUACUACUCCAAAAUCCAAUGAAAAUCCGUUCAAGGGGUUCACUUAUGUAAGGCCUGGAUCGUUUCUUCAGACUCCGCCUUAGAAGUACAAGCUUAGAAAGCUUGGAUAAUUGCCUAUCAAACCCACUGCCGAGUUAGGGCAGAUGGUUGAAUAGACAGAAUUGCCUUUGUUUUUUACUUGAUGAGCUAGCUAGAGAACAGAUAUAUCCCGUAGUCUUUGAACGCAACUUUUCUAUAAAAAAUGAAGUGAAAUAAAGGA
rnacentral:misc_RNA from 1 species